GAGAGCUUGGAUCUGCUCCCGGGCGGCUGCCAGGUGGCCCCUCGCGUCGCUGGUGGCAGUCAGGUUUUCAUCGCGACGCGCUUCCUCGAUCCGGCGGUCCACGGACUCCCGGAGAGAGAGGUCACGGGCAUCCACCUCCAUAACCAGGCCUAACACCUAGUACGGAAGAACAAUUGUCAAGAAAAGAAACAAAGCAAACUCAAAGAGAAGUGAAAAAAAAUAACUUUCCAUCAGAAGCAUUUCUCCAAUCGUGGAUCCGAGCUCCUCACGAGAGCGAGAUUGGAAGGACACCUGCUCCUUGGUAGAACGGGCCAAGUGACCAGUCAGGGCCAGCAGACGAGGAUCCGAAGCCUCUGUUAUCCCGCCGAACAUCCGCUCCCGGAGAAGUGCGGCAACAGCAGAGGCCGGAGACUCAGAGGAAAUGCUUGACAGGUCCAGAAUGUUGUCAGCAGGGGACGACGAAGGAACAACAGAAACACCCUUCCCCUUCCCAAUGGAAGAAAGAGGUGGGGAAGGACCCGCAGCAGUCCUGGACUUCUUCCGAGCAGGAGAUGGGACAGGCGUUCCAGAAGAGGUCGGACGCUUGCCCCCGGUCUUUGAGGAGACGCCCUCAGCUCCCUCAGGCUCAGUCCUCACAGGGGCAGGGGCACCUUCACCAGAAACCUCUGGGCUUUGAUCCUCUAGGAGGAUGAC
rnacentral:lncRNA from 1 species